AAUCUUACAUAUAUUUUGAAUGUGCCCACAUAGAUGAUCAUGAAGCAACAAUUAAAAGAUAACGUUGACUUACUGACAAAAUAGAGGAGACUGGCAGCAGUCAGGCGUGAAGAAGAUAAAUGGAGAGUGUUUCCUACCAGCAGCACAGUUCAGAACUCGAGAUAAGCCACCGGCAGCGCCACUCUUACAGCGCGUGGAACCAAGCAACCAACAAAUGAUUGUUGUAACUAGCUACGAAACUAAGGAACGAAGGACGGAGUAACUAAGCAACGAGCAAACACGAGAUUUGAGGUUCUCAAGGCGGAGAAUAUGUCGACGUUGGUCUUCUGGUUGUAACACCACGUUUCGGAAGGACAUACAGCUUCAGUCUUCAGAACGGAAGAUGGAGUGGUAUGUUCCUGUGGAACGUUUGUGUCUAUCUACAAGUCCACAAAGCUUUAUGACACAAAAAACAAACAAACAUACACUAACAAACUGACUGAAUAUUUAAGAUGUCAACAGAACACCCGGUUCUUAACUUCAUAAGUAACUAGGAAACAAGUUUGUAAAAUGAGUAACAAAUUAUAAAAAUAAAUAAAAAAAUUCAGACAGCGAA